AAUUAUUUUUGUGUUGUAGACACACUCCUUCCAAUUCUCUCUGUAUCUGUAGAUGGGAAGAAACCCGCUUUGGACUGGAAUGUCAUGUAUUGCUUUCUUUUCACUACACACAGCUAGCACAGAAUAAGGCUCUUGGCUCUGUAGGCCUACAAACUAACCUUGGCAUAAUGAAUGACCUGCAGCUUCGAAAUGCCUCUGGAAUGCCAAAUGACCACAGCCCCAUGCCUCUGGAAUGUGGAAUGGCCCCAGCAUUAGCCAGGUGACCCAGGGCUGCACACUGCUAGAAUGAGAAAGAGAUUGAAGCUCCUAGAAUACCAAGUACCCGCUUAAGGAAAAAGAAGUGGCUAAGCCCCCCUGCUGCGGAAGAAAAAGUGGGAGUGAUUGACUUUGCUACCAUGAGAUAACUGUCUGUUAAUACUAAUAACACCUGAGUCUGAGUCAGUGCAACUUCGUUGAACUGCCUGCUGAAAAAUUUCUGACCCUCCCGAAAUCAGAGAAGCUGAUUUCUUCCUCUCCUUGGUAGAAACGUGCUCCCCUCAUUCUGUGCUUCCUACACUCUACCUAAAAGAAUUAGAAGACUUGUUUCCAAAGUUCGUUUUCCCAGUUCAUUAAUUUGGACUUAGAAAGCUUUGUAAUCCCCUAAGACAGCAUCGGCAUCUACAAAGUCCUACUUGGAGAACGCAAUUCCCCAGUGAGGGCACCUGAACCCUUCGUGGAAGUUCCCUGCAAAGGAGAAAAGAUGUAAGGAUAUUAGCAUCAAUCAU
rnacentral:lncRNA from 1 species